GGAAUGUACAAAUAGGGGUCCUUGUUCAUCAGUCAAUGAAAGUAAGCAUACAGGGACAGCAGGCAGUGAAGAAAGCGAAUAGCAUGUUGGCCUUCAUAACAAGGAGUUGAGUAUAGGAGCAAAGAGGUCCUUCUGCAGUUGUACAGGGCCCUAGUGAGACCACACCUGGAGUAUUGUGUGCAGUUUUGGUCUCCAAAUUUGAGGAAGGACAUUCUUGCUAUUGAAAGUUCACAUUUAUAUUUACAAAGCUUUUCAAGUCAAGAAUAGAACUCAAAACGGAAUGGAUUAUAUUUGGAAUAAUAGGAGAAGAUACCAAUUUAAAUAAAGAUAAAAAUGUUUUUUUUAAUUAUGGGUUAAUAAUUGGAAAGAAAUUGAUACUUAAAUUUUGAAAAAAUACAACCACACCAACUGUUAAAAUGUGGAUUAGGAAUAUGAUGGACAUAGCACGCCUUGAAGAAAUGAGACUCCGACUAAUAGAUAAAUAUGACCAAUUCUUAAGGAGUUGGUCUCCUUUCAUCGACUUUUUGGAAUCAUGUGAUGCAGCGGUACCGUAAAGAUUGCUGAUUUCAGUUCAUGACGCGGAUAGAUCUACAUCUCCGAAUACAGAUUUGAAAAAUUCUCUUUUAAGGGGCCUUCUCUUCUAUUUCUACUUUCCACUUUCUCUCUUCCUUUUUUAUUUUUUAUAUACACACUUCACGUUUUUCUACUCUCUACCAUCUAUUUUUCCACUUUUUCCUCUUUCUAUUGUUUUCUUUUUCUUGUCUUGCUUACUUCCUUCUCAUAACAUAAAACUAGAGGUUGUACAUAGAAUGGAUUACGGUAUUACAUAGUUGGCACCUAAAAUUAGGUUCCACUGUACUGUUUUGUGCGGUAUUAACUUCUAAUAAAAUAAUUUAAAAAAAAAAAAAGAAAGUUUGCAAGGUUAAUUCCAAUAAAACCCCAAAAAAGCCAUCCUGGGUACCUUGACUUUCUGAAAAAUAUUUAUUAAAAGCGAGCACUUUCUCAAUGAUGGAUGUAAACUCAAAGUGAUUUCUGUUUCCCUUUCUGAAUAAGGCAGUUAGAUAUCACCUUAUCUGUCAUUAUAUGUUAUCUAUAAGAACUAAGGAAAUAUACUUCCAUUCUCUAAAUAACCAAAGAUACAUCGAGAUCAAGGAUGACAAACAGCACCAUCUGUACAAAAUUUGACAAUGCGUUGACCCUAUGAAGGCCAGAAAGCUUAGCACUAGUCCUCACCAGAAUGCUUCAUUGCCAUUUUCACCUCAAACGUCACCCCCCCCCCACCCUAAUAAUCGUUUUCUCCUUUUCCCAAACUUCACUUUCUAUGUCAGUAAAAGAUUGCAGGAAAAGAGCCCGUUGUAUCCUUAAAUUCUUCAAUAGCCAAGCCAAUAUCUGGACCAACAUCUCAAGUUCACGUGUCUCCGGUUGGGACAAAUCUUUCCAUACAAUUUUCACAUACAACUCAUAUUCUUCAUGCAGUUUAACACACACAAUUCAUCAUAAUAACACAACAUUUCAAAUUCCAAAUAUUAAAGCUGCAUUAAACAUAAAAAACGUUUGCACAGUCAAUUCCCAACCAAGCUGAAAACUUAAUUGCUAAACCCAACAUGAUUGUUUUAAAAAAAAUAAAUGCAGCUUUAAAGAGUGAAAAAUAUGAAGCCUAACUAAUCAAUUGACUAUGAACAUCAAUACGAUUUUCUAUUUCAAAAUUAGAGAAUGCAAACAUGAUGAAUAGUUGUCCCUGAAAACACUGCCUGCCAUUUUCUCAUGGCUCAAUUUAACUAUAUUGCAGGGAGCAAAUUUGACACAGGAUUUAUUAACCAUCUAUUCUUUUGAAUUCAACAAAACAUAUAAUAAAAAUGUAUAGAUUUAUUGCCUACUUUGCAUCAUGAAAUUCCAAUGUGCAGCCUGGGUGGGUAGUAUAAAAUAAAGAAUUUCAGCUGCAAUCUUUCUUCCCGUGAAUUUUGUUAGGACUAUCAUGGGAAGGUGUUGGCUUAUUCAAGGUGAAGCCACUUACUAGCCUUUAAUCCAAAUCUUAACAACCAGGCACGACUCUCCCUUUUCAGCACAGCAGCACAUUGCAAUUGUCCAUCAGAUUGACAACAAAUUGUUUUGUAUGUUCUCUAAGCCGCUAGCCUCUUUCUGGAUAGGUCUUAGAAAAGCUCCUUUGUUUAUAUGUAUGCACCAUUGUAAACGUAACAGCGAGAUUAAUGAUUUUAAAUGCCAACAGGUUAGCUUUACUGACCUGUUACUGCAGAAAGCCAGGACAGACACAAGGAUUACAACCAAAAUAGAGCGCACAAGUAUUUAAGGAGCUUUUUUUUUUUUUUU